rnacentral:rRNA from 1 species
AACAAACGCUGGCGGCGUGCCUAACACAUGCAAGUCGUACGAGAAAGGGUCCUUCGGGGCCUGAGUAAAGUGGCGCACGGGUGAGUAACGCGUGGAUAAUCUGCCCUUCAGUUGGGAAUAACUCAUCGAAAGGUGGGCUAAUACCGAAUAAUGCUGUGAGACCUCGGUUGAUCAGCCAAAGAGAGCCUCUGCUUGCAAGCCCUCGCUGAAGGAUGAGUCCGCGUACCAUUAGCUAGUUGGUAGGGUAAUGGCCUACCAAGGCGACGAUGGUUAGCGGGUAUGAUAGGAUGAUCAGCCAACCUGGAACUACGACACGGUCCAGACUCCUACGGGAGGCAGCAGUGAGGAAUCUUGCGCAAUGGGGGCAACCCUGACGCAGCAACGCCGCGUGAGUGAGGAAGGUCUUCGGAUCGUAAAGCUCUGUCGGAUGGAAAGAACCGCAUAGGGGUAAACAGCCCCUGUGUCUGACGGUACCAUCAAAGGAAGCACCGGCUAACUCCGUGCCAGCAGCCGCCGUAACAC